UCCAGCACUCAAUUUCCACAGGUCCUUGGGC
rnacentral:piRNA from 1 species